UCCCCGAGGACAGUCUGUGGGGAAGCAUCCAGCCUGAUGCAUACAUAGUACAUGCUCAACAACAGAGGUCUCUGUCUUUAGGAGACUUAACUAAAUCUACUAAUCUUUUGCCCAGGCCACUGUCCCUCAACACCACCGCCAACUCACUGCAUGUGAGAGUCAGGGAUAUGUGAAGGAUGAAGAAAACAGAGAGCAAAAGGAGAAGCCAUGAGACACAGAGGAAGGUACAAUCCUGCUCAGUCUCCUGCCUAAAUCUUCCCCAUGGCUGUGACACUGUCUCGGAGGGAUAAACAUGACAAGAGGUAUGAAAGAAGACCCUAGAAAGGUCACAGCUUUAGUACCAUGUAUUAUUUGUCAUCUCAGAAAACCUUCAAGAAAUUGUGCUUUGACAUUCCUGGAUAAAAAAUGUAGUAUGAUUAAAAACAAUCUUCCUUCCUCCUUCCUAUCUGGUUUUUUUUUUAAAUUAAAAAUGGCUUAUGUAUUUUA